AUGCUCACUUGGGCAGCAUGUAUACCAAAAUUGGAAUGAUAGAGAAGAUGAACAUGGCCCCUGCACAAGAACCAACUGAGGCCCCAAAUGUUGUA
rnacentral:snRNA from 1 species